rnacentral:rRNA from 1 species
UACAGAGGUCUCAAGCGUUGUUCGGAUUCAUUGGGCGUAAAGGGUGUGUAGGUGGCGCGCUAAGUCGGGUGUGAAAUUUCGGAGCUUAACUCCGAAACUGCAUUCGAUACUGGCGUGCUUGAGGACUGGAGAGGAGAGUGGAAUUCCUGGUGUAGCGGUGAAAUGCGUAGAGAUUGGGAAGAACACCGGUGGCGAAAGCGCUCUGCUGGACUGCAACUGACACUCAUGGACGAAAGCUAGGGGAGCGAAUGGG